rnacentral:lncRNA from 1 species
UUUUGCUCUCACUUCUCUUCUUCCUCUUCCUCUCCUUCUUCUUCCUCUUCCUCUUUUUUCUUCUUCGUACCCUCAUUUUUCUCCUCCUUCUUCUUUUUCAUCGUCGUCGUUGAUGAUCCGAUCGUCGUGCUUGCGUGGGCCGUCGUCAUGAGCGCUUCCGAAUCGGCCGAACCUUUGCCUUUCGCCUCGCGCUGUGCUCAGCCUCGUCCUAGUCAGUCGCAACUCCGACAAGCUCCGCAACGACGUCGCCGCUGCCGCUCGCUCCCGCAGCCCAAGAAGGAAGAGAAAGAGGAAAAUGCCAAAAAUUGAAAGGACUUUUGGAGGGACAUAUUUGUGAGAGCAAAAAUAUCAUUUCACGAAUCAUUGUUAAAAAAUAAACAGUUCUAUAACGGAUCCUAACCAGAGGGACAUAUCUGAAUACACUACAAUAAAAUUAGGUUAUAGGGACACAUUUUUUGGACACUUUUAUAUAAGUAUCCCAUUUAUGCCAAAUUUUUUAAAAAAAAUCUAUUAAGAUCUAAAUAUAAAGCCCAUUCCAAUAAAAAAUAAAAAGUUACUCUAUUCAAUCAACCACACCUGACCCACUCGGCCGAUUACAAAUAAAAAUAAAAGAAAAAAAAGAAAAAUUGAUCACUAUCUUCCUUUCUCCUCUUCCGCUGCCGCAGCUAACAAGAUAGGGUUUCGACAGCUAGUGUUCAGCCACGAGUAUAUCAUAGGAACCGUAGAGGGCUACGAUCACCACGUAUCCCUCGCCAUAGGUCGAUGAAGGAGUGGGUAUCAAAUAUCAAGGCGGCCCUACCUAUGGGGCAUGUUUGUUUCAACGAAACUGAACUUUUGGUUGAAGUGGACUUUGGGUUGAAGUGGAUUUUGGUGAAAACUACUUGUUUCCUGCUGUUUGUUUCGUAGUUAUGAAGUGAAGUUUCAUUAGUUCUGCUGUUUGUUUGGUAAGAAGUAUAUGAUAUAAAACUAUAAUUUAUAUAGGGUUAAUUACACCAAUGGUCCCUAACCUUUAUUGUUUUUCAAUUUGGUCCCCAAUCCUUUUUUUUUGCAAUCAAGUCCCUAAUCUCUUGAUUUCAUUUCAAUUAAGUCCCAGCCGUUAGAUAGCUGUUAAAAUUGACGAAAAAUGC